AGGACCUUACAAUGACCCAUGCUACCUUCAGCCAUUUGUGCCUCUGCAUAAAUUGUUUGGACUGAUUAGCCUAUCCGUCACCAAUAGCAACCAAAGAGAAUAUGAAUCUAAACAGGCUGUCACCAUUUGGUGUGUUUAAACACAAUAAAGAGUACAUCCCAAAGCACUGGAGUGUGUUUCAGCCCUCUGGGAGGCAACAGGAUAGCCAAGCCAAAUGUGUGUGUAUGUAUUGGGGUGGUCGUCAGAGAAUUCAACUGCACUCAAACCCUUGGUGUCUCAAAGGCCGUCUUGGAGCCAGAUUUAGAAGCCACACAUCACGCUAUCACUUAGUAUUGUUUGUGCUCCUCAGUUUUCUGCACAUGUGCUCCUCAGGAAAUUGAUGACUAGAAGACAUCACUUUUCAUUCACAUGGACUGAUUCAUCCUAGAGGGAACAUUAUUUGGUGAUUUGUGAAAAAUUCUGUGAAUGCAGAAAAGCACCCCAUACAGUGCUCCAGUUCACACUGUAGCCAGCAGGGGCCUUCAUCAUGGCAUCCCUCAAAGCUCAAUCCUGCUACCUGUAGGAUACAGGAUAAGGCUAUCUUGCUCUGGCCCUCCACUGGAAAUCGCACCAUCUUGCCCAUAUAUUCUGUAGUGCCUUGCGUUGACCCUAAUCCAAACUCAUUUUUUUUUUCUCUUUGGAAUGUCUGUUUUAUGAUGAGUACACUUCAUAUUCUUUCAACUCCUUACCUUAAUCAUAAAACAUUUUCACUUCUGAAAUCACUAUUUAAAAAUGACUGCUCUUGGGGCGCCUGGGUGGUUCAGUCGGUUAAGCGUCCGACUUCAGCCCAGGUCAUGAUCUCGCGGUUCGAGAGUUCGAGCCCCGAGUCCGGCUCUGUGCUGACAGCUCAGAGCCUGGAGCCUGCUUCAGAUUCUGUGUCCCCCUCUCUCUCCGCCCCACCCCUGCUUGUGCUCUGUCUCUCUCUUUCUUUCAAAAAUGAAUAAACAUUUAAAAAAAUGACUGCUCUUUAGGGGUGCCUGGAUGGCUCAGUCGGUGGGGCAUCCAACUUUGGUUCAGGUCAUGAUCUCGUGGUUCGUGAGUUCGAGCCUCGCAUCUGGCUCUGUGCUGGCAGCUCAGAGCCUAGAGCCUGCUUCAGAUUCUGUAUCUCCCUCCCUCUCUGCCCCUCCCCCAUUCUCAUUCUCUCUCUCUUUCAAAAACAAACAUUUAAACAUUAAAAAAAAAAAAAAUUACUGCUCUAUAGCCUUAAGUUCCUAUCUAUCCAGCUUGCUCUAAUGUGAAGGUUCAGACUUCUAUUAUUUGACCCCUAUUUAAUUUAUUUUGCUAUCCAUAAGCUUUUAACCUGCUUUCAUCCUUCUUUUAUCCAGCUUUGAUUGUUUCACCUGCCAUUACAAUUAAACAUUGUACAAAUGGUAAAUUAUGUUUCUCUUCUGUCCUUUAUUGCUCUCAUCUGGGACAACGUCAACUCUUGGAUAAAACUAUUUCCAGGAAAUACCAUGUUUUGUUGGGGAAAAAAUCACAUAACAGAAUAAUGUAAUUCCAUUGUGAAUUAAUGAUUGUCAGUCUCAACUGAAUCUCAGUAAUAUUACUAUCCAAAAAUUCUAUUAUGUUUAUCUGGUCAGUUUUCUAUCCAACUUUUACAAUCUCUAUUUCAAACCUAUUUUAUUUUCAUUCAUCUUCUGGGUCUCCCCUUCUGCCCCUGCCCAUUCUCAGCAGAUGAUCGUAUUUCUCAUGUAACAAGGAAAAAUGAAACCGUAAGAUGGGAGCUUCUUUACCUUUUCAUCUCCACAUCUAUCUAUACUCAUUCUUUUCUCUCUAUAACUUGUUAAAAAAAGGAAGUAUCCAUCUUCUUAUAUGUCAGUUCUUUCCUGCAUAUUUAGGAACAUUAUAUUCUUGGCCAUACAUUCCCUCUGUUGAAACCUCUACCAGUUCCUUUUGUAGGAUCAUUCCAAUUAGCUGUUAAGGUUUGGUCUCUCAUAAAUAAAAAUUUAUUUUUGGCUUUAGUUUCAGCCUCCACUACUAACUACCCUAUACCUUGCCUUAAAACUAUUUCUGUUCUUACCUUAAACUAAAAUGUUAAAGGGAUUUUAAUGUUUCGAUAUCUGUAUUUUCCAUGGACUCUUGAAGAGCUCAUUUUGAUCAAGCUUGCAUCAAAAUCUCUACUACUUCACUAAAUGCCCUGGUCACCAAAGUCCACCAUGUCCCCAAAUAAAUUUAACAUUCUUUGUUUCCUUUUUUUUUUCUCAACUUCUCAGUAAAAUCAAACAUUUCUUACUUCCUACCCUAGAAAUUAUCCUUUAGUGACAUCAACACCAUACUUUUUACUGUGUACUCUCACUUCUCUGGAAAAUUCCUUCUGAGUUUUGCCUUAAGUAUUGUCAUUCUUUAGUGUUUGGUCUUAAGUACUCUCCCUUUUAUUAACCUUAUGAUCUACUCUUUCCCCAGGCAAUCAGAUUUAAUUGUAGAGCCUUUUCAUAUGUUCAUGCAUGACUGAAAUUUGAAUCCCUACCCUAGGUUUUUUCUCUGUACUUUACCCAUAUGUUCAACUGACUAAGUGACAUUUCCAAAAGUAUAUUUCAUAGAUGCCUCACCAUCUUGUGUAAAAUUGAAUCUAUGAUAUCCUAUUGCUAAUAUGCUCAUCUUCUGUGAUUUUAUUUUCCUGUACAGACUAUUUUUGUUACUGCAUUGACUGGAAACUCCAAUAAAAUGAGUAGAAGCAGUGGUAAUGGACAUUCCUAACCUAUCCCUGACUUUAAUUGGAAUGCUCCUAAAAUACCACCAUUAAAUAUGAUGAUAGUAAUCCAUAGCUGAUGCUACUAGUUCCUUAUGCAAUAUUCAUGAAUUAGUAAGAUUACCAUCUUACUAAUAGGUAAUCUCUUUUAAAAAGAGCAGCAAUAUGUCUAGAACAAAAACAAUUUUUUUUGAUUUUCAAACUUUAUUGCAGUUAAAAAUACAGUUCUGAAUAAUGACAUGUAAAUUGAGUGUUUCCAGGAAAAGUUUUAGCAGUCUUGGCAUAGGCACUGUCCCCUCCCCCUUUUACUUCCUUCUUCCUGCUAAGAAUGCAGAUCUGAUGCCCAUAAGACUUACAGCCUUUUUGCCAUCAAAGGAUAUGUGGCAGAAAUCUAGAAAGAUCUGGAGACCCUGAUGUCAUUCUUAUAUUACCAUACUGUCCUUCCUAUACUGCUAUUUCUCAGACUUCAUAUAGUUGCAACAAAUGAAAAGUUUAUUUAAACCAUUUCUGAUAGAAUUUUGGUUAAUCUCAGCUAAAAACAAACCUAAUUUAUAUGUACUUGUGGUAGACAGAGUAAUAGCAUCCCAAAGAUGUCCACAUACUAAUCCCCAUAGUCUGUGAAUAUGUUACACACAUGGCAUGGGGAAAUUAAAUUGCAAAUGGAAUUAGUAUUACUAACUUUAAACUGAUUUUAAAAGAGGCAGAUAAUCUAGAUUAAUCACAUGAGCCUAAUGUAACUAUGAGGAUCCUUAAAAGUUGAAGAGGAAGAUAGAAGAGAGAAAGUCGAAGUGAUGGAAUGUGAGAUGUGAGAAGGACUCCAGCCAUUGCUAGUUUUUAAAGUCACUAAUUGGCCAUAAACCAAGGAAUGUGGGCAGCUUCUAGAACUUGGAAAAGGUAGGGAAGUAGUUCCUCUCCUAGAACCUCCAGAAGGAAUGCAGUCCUGCUGACAUCUUGAUUUUAACCCAUUAAGACCUGUGUCAAGUUUCUAACCUACUAAACUAUAAGAUAAUAAAGAUGUAUGGUUUAAAGCCAUUAAAUUUGUCAAAAUUUGUUACAGCAGCACUAGAAAACCAAUAUAGUACUCUUAUUUUUUUUUAAUUUUUUAAAAAGCUUAUUUAUUUAUUUUGAGAGAGAGAGGGAGGCAGAAAGGGAGAGGGAGAAAGAGAAUCCCAAGCAGGCUCAGUGCUGUCAGCACAGUGCCUGACUUGGGACUUGAACCCACGAACUGUGAGAUCAUGACCUGGGCUGAGAUCAAGAGUUAGACACUUAACCAACUGAGCCAGGCACCCCUAAUAUGCUACUUUUUAUGAACUUGAGGAAGGUUCCUGCUAUUUUUGUUGGCUAAAAGUUUUAUCAUGAAUGAAUCUAAAAUUUAACCAACUGUUGUUCUGGCUAUACUGAAAAAUAAGUAUGAUGAAAAUAUCUUAUUUUUCAUUUCCUCUUUUAAGUGUUAAUAUGCUGGAUUACUUUAGGAUUACUUUAAUAAAUGUUUCAAUUUAAAUGGUGACUACAUAUCUUGAUAAGCACUGAGUAAUGUAUAGAAUUGUUGAAUCAUUAUGCUGUACACCUGAAAUUCAUAUAACAUUGUAUGUUAAUUAUACUUCAGUUAAAAAAAUAAAUCUGUCAACAAAACUAGAAGCCUACAGAAAGCGAGAAGAUAUUUGCAAAUGACAUAUCUGAUAAAGGGCUAGUGUCUAAAAUCUGUAAAGAACCUAUCAAGCUCAACACCCAAAAAGCAAAUAACCCAGUUAAAAAAUGGGCAGAAGACAUGAAUAGACACUUUUCCAAAGAAGACAUCUAGAUGGCUAACAGAUACAUGAAAGGAUGCCCAACAUCACUCAUCAUCAGGGAAAUACAAAUCAAAACCACUGAGAUACUACCUUGCACUUGUCAGAAUGGCUAAAAUUAACAACACAAGAAACAACAGGUAUUGGUGAAAAUGUGGAGAACAAUGCACUUGUUGGUGGGAAUGCAAACUGGUGCAGCCACUCUGGAGAACGGUACGGAGAUUCCUUAAGAAAUUAAAAAUAGAGGGGCGCCUGGGUGGCGCAGUCGGUUAAGCGUCCGACUUCAGCCAGGUCACGAUCUCGCGGUUCGUGAGUUCGAGCCCCGCGUCAGGCUCUGGGCUGAUGGCUCAGAGCCUGGAGCCUGUUUCCGAUUCUGUGUCUCCCUCUCUCUCUGCGCCUCCCCCGUUCAUGCUCUGUCUCUCUCUGUCCCAAAAAUAAAUAAACGUUGAAAAAAAAAUUAAAAAAAAAAAAGAAAUUAAAAAUAGAUCUACCCUAUGAUCCAGCAAUUACACUAUUAGGUAUUUAACUAAAGGAUACAAAAAUACAGAUUCAGAGGGGUACAUGGAACCCAAUGUUUAUAGCAGCGUUAUCAACAAUAGCUAAACCAUGGAGAGAGCCCAAAUGUUCAUCAGCUAAUGAAUGGAUAAAGAUGUGGGGGGUGUGUGUGUGUGUGUGUGUGUGUGUGUGUGUGUGUAUGUGAUGGAAUAUUACCAGCCACCAAAAAAGAAUGAAAUCUUACUAUUUGCAAUGAUGGGAUAGAGCUAGAAUGUAUUAUGCUAAGUGAAAUAACCAGUGAAAGACAAACACCGUAUGAUUUCACUCAUGUGGAAUGUAAGAAACAAAAUAGAUGAAUAUAUAGGAAGGGGGAGAAAAAGAGAAGAGAGGGAAGCAAACCACAAAAGACUUAAUGAUAGAAAACAAACUAUGGGUUUAUUGGGGAGGUGGCUGGGAGAUGGACUAAAUGGGUGAUGGGUACUAAGGAGGGCACUUGUAAUGAGCACUGGGUUUUUUAUGUAAGUGGUGAAUCACUGAAUUCUACUCCUGAAACCAAUGCUGCAUUGUAUUUUAACUAACUAAAAUUUAAAUAAAUAAAAAAAGAAAAUAAAGUUUUAAUUUUAAGCCUUUGGAUUAGUUUUCUACAUUCUCAAUUUUAGGCCACUGUAGAGACACUUAUUAAACCUGUUUGUAAUUUCUGUUUUCUUAUUAAGCUAAUACUCAUGAAGAAAAAUAAGUUUGGUUGUUAAGAAUGUAUUUGAUGGUAAUUCUUUUUUUUUUUUCUUUCCAAGUUUUUAUUUAAAUUCUAGUUAGUUAACAUGCAUACACUUUUUGGUAAUUCUAGGGCUAGAGGUUGUUAUAACCUAUGGUCCAUUCCAGGGAGUGAGUUCAAAUACCAAGAAUUGUGAAUGUUUUGUUCUAGUCUCCUUUGGCAAAUAGAGAUUUUCCCAUUUCCACCCUAUGAAAGGAUAAAAUAGUCUUAACUACUCAUAUUAAAUAUAAAUAUUUAAUUUGAUAAAAAAACAAGGAGCAGUAAAGUGUAUAGAAAAUAAAAAAGUAGAUUCUGACCUUGAGGAAGAAAAAUCUGCAUAGAAUAAUUUGAAAAUCUUUUAAAUGCUGCCUUUCUAUGCCCUUAUCUCUUAUGUCUUUGGACCCAAACCUUCUCAAUUAGAUUCCAGAUUAGGGAGUUUCUAUAAUCAAUUGGUCUCCUUGGAAUGUUUCAAACUAAGGCAGUUCACAAAGGCAUAACUCCACAUGCACCAUUUCCUGAGAUGUUGCCUAGGAGUACUGGGCAUCUAGAACUAAGUGAUGCCUUUGAUUCUGUACCUAGACCACUAUUUUUCUUGUUGCUUCUGUACCUUACACACCAUGUUUUCAUUGGACUUAUCAUCAUAAGAAAGUGCUCCUUACCUGUAACAACUCCUUUACCUUGUGGAAAAAUCUGCCUGGGGCUCCAGGAAGACAAACUCUAUGUACAUCAUUUUUAAAACUUUUUAAGUGAGCUAUAUAACUACAAUAUCAUCAUGAUGUAUACCCUGGAUGCAGUCUACAUGAAUAGUAAUUUGUUGAAUAUAAUGUUGCAUAUAGGGGGAAAUUACUUUGGUGCCAAAGUUGACAGUUUAGCUUUUCAGAUUUUUUGUUCUAAAUAAACAAAAAUAUGUAUUUUGUAUUUAUUUCAAAAUAAUAGAAGUAUGGCCUUCAUCUACUGUACUUUUUUCAUUAAACUAAUAUUUCUUUGCUCUAGAGUCCAUAAAAACUAAUACAUGAAGAUGAUACUGAAAUUGGUUUGCUAACACUCUAUUUAGGAAUUUGUCAAUAUAUUCAUCAAUAUAGUUGGUCUAUACUUAUUUUUUCUUAUAUUCACCACUCUGGUUUUAGUGUUAAGAUGAAAUUAGUCUUGAAAAAUGACUUAGUCACACUUAAACUUAGUCACAUAUUUUAGUCUUAGAGAAAUUCUGAAGAUCAGAUUUUUUUUUAUAAGGAAUUUGGCAAAAUUUGGCUAUAUAUUUAUUUGGAACUUGUUUCUUUUUAACAGAGUUUUAUUGGAAGUUACAUUUUUCUUUCUUUUUCUUUCUUUUUUUAAUCCUCAUCACCUAUUUAACCCAACCCUCCACCCCUCUUCCCUCUGGUAACCAUCUAUUUGUUCUCUGUAAUCAAGAUCUGUUUCUUGUUAUCUCUCUCUCUCUCUUUCUUAUUUUAUUCCCUUUCCUUAUUUGUUUUGUUUCUUAAAUUCCACAUGAGUGAAAUCAAAUGGUAUUUGUCUUUCUCUGAUUGACUUAUUUCACUUAGCAUAAUACUCUCUAACUCCAUCCAUUCAUUGCAAAUAACAAGAUUUCAUUCUUAUGUCUGAAUAAUAUUUCAUUGUGUGUAUAUACCACUAUUCUUUAUUUGUUCAUCAAUCUAUGGACACUUGGGCCACUUCCAUAUCUUGGCUAUUAUAAAUAAUGCUGCUAUAAACAUAGGGGUGCAUAUAUCCCUUUCAAUUAGUAUUUUUGUAUUCCUUGGGUAUAUAUCCAGUAAUGCAAUUGCUGGAUCAUAAGGUAGUUAAAUUUUUAACUUUUUGAGGAACCUCCAUGCUGUUUUCCACACUGGCUGAACCAGUUUGCAUUCCCAUCAGCAGUGCAUGAGUGUACCUUUUCUUUACAUCCUCACUAAAACUUGUUGUUUCUUGUGUUUUUUAUUUUAGUCAUUCUGAUAUAUGUGAGGUGAUAUCCCAUUACAGUUUUGAUUUGCAUUUCCCUGAUGAUAAGCGAUGAUGAGCAUCUUUUCAUGUGUCUGUUGGCCAUCUGUAUGUCUUGGAAAAAUGUCUGUUCUUGUCCUCUGCCCAUUUUUGAUUGGAUUAUUUAUUAUUUGGGUGUUGAGUUUUAUAAGUGUUUUAUGUAUUUUGGAUACUAACCCUUUAUUGAAUUUGUCAUUAUCUUCUCCCAUUCUGUAGGUUGCCUUUAGUUUUGUUGAUUGUAUCCUUUACAGUACAAAAGAUAUUUAUUUUGAUGUAGAUACUAACUCUUUAUUGGAUAUGUCACUUGCAAAUAUCUUCUCCCAUUUUGUAGGUUUCCUUUUAGGUUUGUUGAUUCUUUCCUUCACUGUGCAGAAACUUUUUAUUUUGAUGUAGUCCCGAUAGUUUAUUUUUGCUUUUGUUUCCCUUGUCUCAAGAGACAUAUCUGGAAAAACGUUGCUAUAUCUGAUGUCAAAGAAGUUACUGCCUGUGUUUUAUUCUAGUAUUUUUAUGAUUUCAGGUUUCACAUUGAGGUUUUCAAUUCACUUUGAAUUUAUUUUUGUGUAUGGUGAAAGAAAGUGGUCCAGUUUCAUUCCUCUGCAUGUUGCUGUCCCAUUUUCCCGACACCAUUUGUUAAAGACGUUUUUUUCCCAUUGUAUAUUCAUUCCUCCUUUGUCUAAGAUUAAUUCACCAUAUAACUGCGGGAUUUUCUAUUCUGUUCCAUUGAUCUAUGUGUCUGUUUUUUGUGCCAGUACCAUACUAUUUUGAUUAUUACAGCUUUAUAAUAUAACUUGAAGUCCAGAAUUAUGAUGCCUCCAGCUUUGCUUUUCUCUGUGAAAAUUGGUUUGGCUAUUUGGAGUCUUUUGUGGUUCCAUACAAAUUUUAGGAUCAUUUGCUCUAUUUAUGUGAAAAAUGCUGUUGGUAUUCUGACAGAGAUUGCUUUAAAUGUGAAUUUACAUUUUUAAAUGGUUAUUUUUUGUUUAGAUAUUAUUUUAAAAAAUUAUUUUUAUCUUAAUUAUGUAUUAAUAUAAUUUUUUCAUAUUACUCUAUUGAUUUUUACAAUCUUUAUGUCCACUUUUUUCCCAUUUUUAAUCCCAAUGUUAUAAACAUAUUCCUUUUCUCUCUUUCUCUUCUCUCUUUUUUACAUUCUUCUUUCGUUUUUCUCAUGUCCUGCUUGAUAUUUGGCUACAAAUUGCUUUUCAAUUUCAUUAUUUUUUCUGUUAUUUUCUUUAAUUUGCUCCUUUUAUUAUUUUUUUGCUAUUCUUUUUCUUUUCCUAAAUUAUCACCUCAAAUGCUAAACAUACCAUGAGUCCUAUGUUAGUUGUCACUCCCAAAUUUGGUUACAGCAUAUCUUCAUUAUCAUUCAGUUCUAAAUAUUUUAUAAUUUCCAUUGCAGGAAUUUUCUCUUUCACACAUGUUAUUUUGGAAUGCAUUUUUAAAUACACACACACCCACACAAAUGCAGAUGCACCUGGAGUUGAUUUAUUGUAUAUGGAGUAAGUUGGGAAAUCCAAGAGCAUUUUAUCCCAAUGUAGUCACUUUUUAAAAAUGCCAUUUAAUAAGUAACGCCAUGUUUGUCUACUGGUAUGCCAGGCCAACCUUUGUCCUAUAUAAAAUGAGUUUAUUUGGGGGCUGUUUUAUUCCUUUUGCUAGUUUGUCUCUGCUUAUGCCAGAAGCUUAUGGUUUUAAUUCCUUUGGUUUGCAAUAAGAAUUGAUGUUGGGUAGGACUAGUCUCCUCUCCUCACUUCUCUUCUUAAGACUCUUGACUAUUUUCACCUCCUUUUCCCCCAUAUAUAUGUUUCAUAAAUAUUUUUGAAUGUUUAUCAAACAUUCAGAGAAAUAAUUCACAACUUUACAAUAUUCAUCCUUUUUUGAACACAGUAUCUUUUCAUUAUUUAAUGACUCCAAACAGAUAAAAUAUUAUAGUUUUCUUGGUACAGGUUUUGCUUAUAUUUUGUUAGAUUUAUUCCUACUUGAUAUUAUUUUAUGAUAUUGUCUCCUUUUCAGUUGUAUUUUCUGGUGUAUGUAAAUGUAAUUGACUCUUGUUUUGUUACCUUAUUACCCAGUCUUCUUGUUCAACUCUGCCGUGAUUCCAAAAUUGAUUCAUAGUUUCUUUAAAUUCUUUUAUAUGAAGUCUCAUAUCAUUUACAAUAAUAAGAUUUUUAUUUUUACUUCCAAAACUUCAAGCUUUUUUCUUCAAAUGCACAAUCUAAGAUCCCUAAUACAAGGUCAAGGAGUUAAAUUGAUGAAGGUGGGUGUUUCAUCUCAUUUCCUUAUUCUAACAUUUCCUGUUUGUAAUAAUGCUUACUGUAUACACGUGCACACAUAUACACACACUUUUUCAUAUUAGGGAAUUCUCUUCUUAGUUCUCUGGAAACUUUUAAUGUGAAUUUAUAUUUAACUUUAUUUAAUGUCUUAUGGAAUCUAUUGAAGCAAUUAUAUGGAUAUUAUCUUUAAUAUAUAAAUGUGCAUUUCUGGAAUAAACUCAAAUUGGUCAUAAUAUACUAUGUUUUCUAUGUAAUAAUGGAUUCAAUUGGAUAAUAUUUUGUUUAGGAUUUUUGCAUCUGGAUUCAUGACUUAAAAGGUUUUGCUGUUUUCCUUGUUAUAAAAUUUUAGUCUCAUUUUCUGUUUCUCUGUACUGUAAUGAAUUUUUCAAUUUUUUCCCAACUCUGUAGGUAUUAUUGUGAUUAUGACUUAUUUUGAGUUUGCAGUACUAAUGCAAUAUUUAUUUUUAAGAUUUAAUUUUUAAGUCAACUCUACACCCAGUGUAGGGCUUGAACCCACAACCUCAAUAUCCAGAGCCACAUACUCCACCAACCGAGCCAGCCAGCCAGGCAUCCCACUACUGCAGUAUUUUAUAUUAAUGGAAAUAUUUUGAUCAAACAAGAUUUUUUAGUUAUUUUCAUUUUAAAUUCAUGUUACAUGUUCUAUCCACAUGCAUUUGUUUUAUUUCUGUCCAUUUUUUUCAUAAUUUCUUCUUUUAAAAUAAUGAAAGAUGUGUCAUCAGUUAUAUCCUUAAACAUCUGAAACAUCAUCAUCUUAAAUUUUGUAAUUGACUCUCUUGGAACUUUAAUUUUAUAUGGAGAAAUAACCCUUAUAGUAGAUCUGUUUAUUUGUUUACUUACUUUACUUACUUAGAUUUUUUAAAAAUGGGCUUUAACUUUGAGUUAUAGGUGUAUUUUUUGUGGAGGCUUUUUUUUUCUUCUCUACUCUUCUUUUUGCUCCUCUGGUGGUUUUGCUACAACUCCAACUAGCCUUGCAGACCAGGUUCCAUCAUAAAUGCAGGAUGGAUUCCUGUGUCAGUAUUAAAGGCCCUGCAAAUCCAGCCACAGAGCCAGAGAAUAUCUUGGCUCAGUUCCUGGUAUAGAGCUUUUCUGCACAUUGUUUGAGAGCCGUAAUUCAAGUUUAAUUUUUAUUUAUUUUUAAAUUAAUAUACAGGAAAUUUCACUGUUUUUAGUAUGCAAUUCAUGAUUUUGACAAAUGCAUGGAAACUUCCUGCUGCCUUUUUAAAAAAUAAAGUUUAUUUUAUAACAGUCUUAUAUUCACAGAAAAAUUGAACAGAAGGGGCAAAAUUUCCCACACACCCUCUGCCUCCAGACAUGCAUAGCCUCCCCCGUUAUCAGCAUCUCUCACCAGAGUCGUAUUUGUUACAGUCGAUGAACCUACACUGACACAUCAUUAUCACCCGGAGUCCAUAGUUUACAUUAGGGUCCACUUUUAGUGUUGUACAUUCUGUGGGUUCUAGACAAAUUUAUAAUGACAUUUAUCUAGCAUUAUGGUAUCAGAGUCGUUUUAUUACUCUAGAAAUCCUCUGGCCUCAAUCUGUUCAUUUGUCCCUCCCCUCAGCCCCUGGAACCACUGAUCUUUUUACUAUUUUAUUUUGCAUUUUCCAGAAUGUCAAAUAGUUAGAAUCACAGUAUGUAGCCUUUCAGAUUAGCUUCUUUCACUUCAUAAUAUGCAUUUCAGUUUCUCAUGCGUUUUCAUGGCUUGAUAACUUAUUUUCUUCUAGCACUGAAUAGUAUUCCAUUGUCUAAAUGUACCACAAUUUACUUAUUCAUUUAUCUACUAGAUGACAUUUUAGUUGCUUCUGUUAUGCCCAGAAUUCGUGAUCCCCAAAGACCACCAGGGAGCUGAGUCCGAUGCAAAAGCAAAAGAGCCUUUAUUCGAGCUAGCUCGAGCUCAAUCCCCUACCUGCACCGACGCAGCGGUGAGAUACCAGGGAGAGAGAGAGCGAGUUUCAAAAGCACAAAGGUUUUAUAGGGGUCUAGGGGCAGCCGAUUGGCUGGGGAAGGGGCGUGUUUUGAUCAGGAAGUUUGAAUGGGUGAGCGGGAGGUUACUCAAGGGGAGGAGGUGUGGUCUAGGUGAAGGACACAGAACAAGAUGGAGUUGGCCGGCGUAGGCCCGCCCUUUCACUUCCAAGUUUUUUUUUUUUUUUUUAAUUUUUAAAUUUAUUUGGGAGAGAGACAGAGACAGAGUAUGAAUGGGGAAGGGGCAUAGAGAGAGGGAUACACAGAAUCCGCAGCAGUCUCCAGGCUCCGACUGUCAGCACAGAGCCCUAUGCAGGGCUGGAACUCACGAACCAUGAGAUCAUGACCUGAGCUGGAAGUUGGACGCUUAACCGACUGAGCCACCCAGGUGCCCCAGUUGCUUCCAAGUUUUGACAAUUAUGAAUAAAGUUGCUAUAAACAUGUGUGUUCAAGUUUUUGUGUGAACUGAAGUUUUCACCUUCUUUGGGUAAAUACCAUGUGCUUUUGCUGGAUCAUAUGGUAAGAGUAUGUUUAGUGUUAUAAGAAGCUGCCAAACCGUCAUCUAUACUGUCUAUGACACUUUGCCUUCCCAUCAGCAAUGUAUGAGAGUGCCUGUUGCCUCACAUCCUUGUCAACAUUUGGUGCUAUCAGUGUUCUGGAUUUUGUCUGUUCUAAUAGGUAUGUAGUCGUCGUAUGUCAGUGUUGUAUUAGUUUGUAUUUCUCUGAUGACAUAUGAUGUGGAGCAUCUUUUCAUGCACUUAUUUGCCAUCUGUAUAUGUUCUUUGGGGAAGUGUCUGUUAAGGUCUUGGCCCCCUUUUUAAUUGAGUUGUUUGUUUUCUUAUUGUUGAAUUUAAGACUCUUUUUGUAUUUUUGGGAUAAUAGUCCUUUCUCAGAUUCGUCUUUUGCAAAUAUUUUCUCCCAAUCUGUGACUUGUCUUUUUAUUCUCUUGACAGUUUCUCUUGCAGAGCAGAAUGUUUCAGUUUAAUGAAACUUACCAAUUCUGUUACAGAUGGUACCCUUGGUGUUGUAUCUAAACAGUCAUCACCAAAUCCAAGGUCAUCUAGGUUUUCUAUGUCAUCUUCUGGAAUUUUGUAGUUUUGUGUUUAGUAUUUAGAUCUGUGGUCCAUUUUGAGUUAAGUUUUGUAAAGAGUGUAAGGACACUCUUUGAUGUAAUUUUUGGCCAAUGGAUGCCAAUUUUCUCCAGCACCAUUUGUUGAAAACUGUUUUUUCUCCAUUUUAUUGCUUUUGCUCCUUUGUGAAAGAUCAGUUGAUUAUAUUUAUGUGGGCAUAUUUCUGGACUCUCUUCUGUUCUAUUGAUCUAUUUGUUUCUUGUUUUACCAAUGCUUGCUGUCUUUUUAUGUCAAAUCCUCCACCCACUCAUGUGGGACCAUUCAUCCCUGUAGUUUUGCCUUUUACAGAAUGCCAUAUAAAUGAAACCAUAAAGGAUGCAGUCUUUUGAAUCUAAAUUCUUUCUUCACUUAGCUUCAUACAUUUUGAUACGAUAGAUGUUAUAGCAUGUAUCCAUAUUUUCUUUAUUGCUGAAUAGUAUUCCAUUGUAUGAAUGGGCCAGUUUAUUUACUCAUUUCUUAGUUGAGGGCCAUUUGGAUUGUUUCCACUUUGGGGCGAUUACCUAUAAAGCUUCUAUAAACAUUUGCUAUAAAUGAGUAUGCAGGUUUUCAUUUCACUAGUAUAAAGCAGGUAUAAUAGUCAACAAUUUUUGUUUGUGUUGUUUUGUUUUGUUUGCUGUUUUUUUUUUUUCAUAGCUUAUUUAUACUGAUAGUUGGGUUCCCUCCUGUGCUUUCAAACAGAGAGCCUAAAUCAGUUACCUUUCUGAAAAAAAGGGUAGUUUGUCUUCUUUGCCCCAGAAAAGCAGAAUUUCUAGCCACCACUAUCUUUAUUUGGGGUGGGAAGACUUAUCACUUUAACCUCUCUCUUCAUUUGGUGUUUCUAUUCCAUUUUUGGUCCAUGAAAAUAUUUAUUUUUUCCUAAGUUACAUGUUUUUUUGUUUUCUCAUUAUAUGUUUUGUCUAUAAUUACUAUGUGGCAAAGCAGAGGGGGUGAUCAGACUACAAACUCACAGAGCCAUCUGGAACCAGAAGCACCUGGAAUUCCCAGAAGGUCCUGCCUGUGCUCAUGGCACCAUCACCCAUCCAGCUGAGUGAAUCGGAGAACUGAGAGUUAUUUUUGAUUAUUUCCUUUGCCCUCAGCUUCUAUAUGCAGUCGAGCACAAAAUUUCAUUGGUUAUUACCUUGUAAUUGCUUCUCGAAUUAUUAUACUCUUUUUCAUCUGCAGCCUCCAUUUUGGUCUAAGCUCUGGUCAUCUCUCACUAGGCUUCUCUUUCCACCUAACCUCUCUUCACAAUGAAGCCUGAAAUAUCUUCUAUAGCUACAUAUAUAAUCAAAUCAUUCUCUUGCUUUAAAUAUUAUAUGGCUUCCACUAACCUUAGUUUAUAAAGAGAUAAAGCCUGGGGCUCAGCCUGUUGCCUACUGCUUUAACCUCUUGAUGAGCUCCUUCCUCUAUAAGUUCUAUUCAUACCCAUCUCCUUUAGUCAGUGCUCUGUAGAGGGCAUGCUCAUCUCACUUCAAGGUGUUCACAAGUGUUAGUCUUCUGCUUGAAUGCUUUUUUUUUUUCUCUCUUUUCAAACUCCCUUUCAUAUGUAAUUUCUACUAGAACUUAGUAAGAAGACUUCAAGGAAGUCUUCCCUGACUUCCCUAACUUCUUCAGGUCCUGAUUACACACUCCUAUUAUACUUUGUAUUUACAAUAAUUCUUUACUCUGAUGUCUAUCUUGUUUCUUUUGUGUAUGACUAGUGUUAUGUUCUGACAACACUAAGUUUUCACUGAAUACCUUGUGUAAAUUAAUAAGUAGCUACAAAAAUAUGUUUCAGAGGAGUCAUUUAAAUGGUACCAUUUGAAGUACCAAGUACGUCCGUAUCUUUGGGUACCUCACCUGCUGAUGUCUGAAAGUGUAUCAAUCUUCAUUACUUUUGAUUAGCCAUUGCCCUAUCUAGACUCCCCACUUUAAAAGGCAAUUCCUUCUUGGGAUACCUGCAUGGCUUAGUCGGUUGAGCGUCCAACUUUGGCUCGAUCAUGAUCUCAUGGUUCAUGGGUUCGAGCCCUGUGUCGGGCUCUGUGCUGACAGCUAGGAACCUGGAGCCUGCUUUAGAUUCUGUGUCUCCCUCUGUCUCUGCCCCUUCCCUGCUCGUGCUUUGUCUCUAUCUCUCAAAAAUAAAUAAACAUUAAAAAAAAAGGCAAUUACUUCUUGUAAUACUAAUGCAUGAUGUCCUUAACUCCUUAGUGUACUGAGGUUACCAGAUUUCUUUCAUUCCUGAGGGACAGACUGUCCGAUGACAUAGAUAACAUUAAGGGAAUUUUCCAAGUUAAGUUCCUACACAACUGGUUUGGUCAGGUAAAAGUGAAAGGAUAUGGCCUAGCUCUUUCCCAGAGUAUAUACAUAAUAAAUACAUGAGGUAGUUUUUAUUGUGGUGGCUUCAUUCACACCCUAAUAGUGUACGGUCUAGUUGAAUUGAUUGACAAUGGUGUCUAGGCUUCAACAAUGAGCUUGCUGAUUCAGAGUGAGUUAAUCUCAUCAAUGUAAAUACUUUUAAAGAGCCUAGAAUAUUUUCUUUGACACACUCUUGCAGUUGAGUCAGAUAUUUGGCAUCUAUAACCCCAACAACUUGGCUCAUAACUUGGUAGAGAAAUCCAUCUAGCUAGCUGGAGGCCUUCUGAAUAAUAAGUGAGACUUUUUCACAGCAUGUAAAUUGCAGAACAAAUACCACACCAUCGGUUUAUAAUGACUUUUUAAUUUUUAUUUAUUUUUACAGUAGGCAGAUAUUGGGACAAGGGACUUCUGAAAGUGUUUAUAACACUUUAAAGGAGAAGAUUUUCCUUUCUUUCUGGGAGUCAUGGAAUCUUGUGACAAGGAAGAAUUGUGGGUGGAUUUUAUUAAUAGCUAACAUUAAUUGAGUAUAUAGAAUAUGUGCUAGGUGCUAAAAUAGCUCUUUAUAUUGUAUUAUUGUAUUUAAUCUCCAAUCUGUUAGCUAGUUGCUGUUGCUAUCUCUAAUUCUUUUUUGGGGAAAAUAAUGAUUUAUUUCACUGGGUCUAUUUCAAAGAAUGGAAAAAUUAUACUUAUCUUUAUUUGUGAAAGAAAAUAAGUCAGUAUAAUUACUCUUGAAGGAAAUAAAUUUUACUAAGGGUAAAAUCUAGAAGUAGUUGUAUGGAAUAUUCUUCCUUAUAUCAAUGAUUUAAUAAGUAUCCUGUUACUCUAGAUCUCAGGGCAAAAUUUAAAUGGUUGUAGAAACUUAGUUUCUUGAGGUGAAUGAGAUUAGGUUUUUGGGGCAGUAGAGUUCUAACAUCGUUGGGGCAGCCAAGUUGUCAUUUAGACCAUACCUCACUGCAGUUUUUACUUUCAUGUUCUUCAUACUAUCAUGGAAAGGAAUGGGAUACCUAUAGUGUUUCAUGUUCUGAGCAAGACUUUCAAGUCAUAAGCUCCAAGUACUUUGGUAACUUCUUGAGAUGCCUGUAUUUAAUGCAGAAAAUUUUGAAGAGAAGUUCCCGUUGGAUUAUGUAACAAUGCAGAUCAAUGGUACUCCUUUUUAGACUCUUGGGUAAAAUCCAAACUGAGUAAAGUUGGUUUUGCCACGGAUAAUAUCCAUCAUAUAAAUGUUGCACAACAUUGUACUUGUAAUUCAAUUUCAAAUGACCAUGGAAAUAAUUUUUGGUAUACAAAUGAAGUCUUAUGUAAUACCAUGGGAAGGUGUAAGAAUAUUUUUGUAAGACCUCUUAUGUACCCAAAAUAGAAGGCUGGGGCUAAUACAGAAAAUUUUUGAUUCAUUGAGCCACCUCUGGAAAGUUAGAAAAUGCUAUGAGCCAGAACAGAUAUGAUGUGGGCUUUCCCAAGGCCCUAUUACUUCUCCUUUAUAGAUGAAGAAACUGUAUCCCAGGAAGGUUAAAUGACUUGUCCAAAGUCAACUUGCCAAGUCAGGUUUGAAGCCCCCCAGAGUGAUCUUCUACCUAGAUGCAGACCAGAGUUCCAAGGAACUUGAUAUACAGCCAGUCUCAGAUGAUUAUAAUGUGGCUGGCUGCCAGAAUUAUGCUUGCUGUGAGAGAAAUUACUAUAGGGAAAGAACAUAGUAAACACAGCUACAGAUAUGGGUCAUGUGCAUGCACUGAGAAAAAAGGAAUCAAAGUGGCAUAAGAACUUGGGUUUAAACAUUUGCUCUUCUGAAUUUGACUACCUGCUCAAGAGCAUGGGUGAGGGAGUCAGGGUUCUGGGGUUGGGGUUCUGGGGUUGGGUUCAAUGUGGAGGAAAUUAAAACCUAUCUUUGCUCAUUAGGAAAAAAUGCCUAAAGGACUAGAAAAGAAAUUUAUAUUUUUAAGAAUGGAAGAAAAUAUACUUAAUCAGAAUUUAACCCAUGAACUAAACUCAUGUCUCUGUGGCAUGAGCUCAGAGAUCAUAGUAGGUCAGUGUGAAUCCCUCAGUGUUUCCAGUGCUAUGUGCCUGAAAACUUGCUUUUCAAGCGUUAUUCCUUUAGUUUUAUGCUCUAAUCCCUGUCAAAAUGCAAAUUCUUUUUCAGAAACUUUUCAUAUAAAACAAAUGAUUUGACUUUUUUUUUAAUGCCAGCACAUCUGAAAAAUAUGCCACAUUCCAAUCAGCAACUGUGGGUUCACUAUGGCAAUGAUUGUCAAAUGUUCCCACAACUUCUGAGUACAGAGGGUAUUUGAAUUUUAGGAGAAGUUGAUGGGAAGACAAUAGGAAACCACACUGUCAAGAAUUCACUAAAUGUGAAUUUAUGCAAGGGAAAGAAGGGCAAUGGUGGGCACCUGGAGCAGAAGGGAAAGGAGAAGGUAGAAAGCUUAGCAACAAGCUGUUCUGGCUUGACAGUUUACCAAUGAUGGGUCUUCCAGAUACAGUGAUGGAACACUUCACAGGUUUACCUACUAGCAUCUCUUGUCAUCGAAUGCACACCAAGUCCGACUGACAUAUCACUCACAGGUGCUAAGUAUUGCUGUUACUAGAUAGGCUGGUAGGUGAGAAAGAGGAUGGACUUUGGAGGAAAACUUAGACUCUCAUAUCUUCAUCAUCAUGGGUUGGCUGAACAGUCUGAGGUAUAUUAAUGAGCCUCUUUGAGAACCUUUCCACUAUAGCAUGUUGCCUAUGGAUAACAACAUUUAUGUUGUGACAAGGGAGUUUGGCUCUGCAGGAUGCUUAGCAAAGUACCUGCAGGGAGUUAUGCACUAGAGUUUAUACCCACCAGUUCCCUUCCUGGCUUCAUGAUUGCUUCACCUCUCCCUACAUCUCUCCUGUGCUGCACCCUGGUUUUCUAAAGGCAUCCCAUUGAGGACUGCACAUCUGAGACCAUGCUUUACACAUUGGCUGAGCUUUCUGUCAUCAUACUUUCUUCCCUCAAGGAAGGUCCUGGGUAAGUACAUUCACACCAACAUACUGAUAAUUAAAGACCUAGUUAAUAUUAUUUUCUGAAACAUAGCUGAAUUUUAAUGAAAGGGAACAAAUUAAGAGUUUCAGUUUUAAUAGUGAGAGAGAGAGAGAAUGAGGCAUCAAUAUCUGAUUGAUUGAUGUUGAGUCUCGGUGUUUAACUCUCCAAUUUUGAUCUCCAUAAUUUUAGACCAGAAGGCUGGCUUCAGCUUGGGUUGUAGAACACUUAGGGAAAGAUUUUAGAUGCAGAAGAGCUGAGGGUUAAGUAUAAGGUGCUUGACAGUCGUGCAUUUAGAAGUCAGGAGAUGGGCAAGAAGUUUGAAAAAGAGUAGCCAUCAAGGCUGAGGGCAUACCAGGAUAUUUAUCCAACAGGGUUAUGCCAUAUCCGUGUUACUACCUGCUCAACUGGAAACUGAGCUUAGGGCUCACUAACAGAAGGGAGAGAUAUUGAAACUUGUUCUGUCCUCAUUAUAGUCAAAUAUAUCUUUGGUUCAUUCUUUACAGUGAGUCACCUGCUCAAUCUGUCCUUAGUCUUUCAGCUAGGACUUGGGAUGUUUUAAUUUACUUAGCUUAAGCUGGAGUCAGAAACAUUGCUAUAUACUACUUUUGAAUUUAUUUUCAUGUUCCAUUAUAACCUCAUCAUCCCCCUUCACAGUCUAAUGGUUAAAGCUUGGGGUUUGGAGUCAGACAGGUAAGGUGUUUAAUCCUGUUUUCACUACUGACUAGCUGUUUAUUAUUUUACCCAAAGGUGAGAUUACCACUUCUCCAAAUUCCCAGAAAUGCAUUCUUAUCCUUCUCUCUUCUCCAAGACAUCGGCAGUAUUGCCCAGAGUUUGGUCUCUCAUACAGUACUGCUGAAAGUAUCUGAGGCAAACAUGUGAGGUGGAGAGAAACUGGGGUCCCAGGAGGUCAGAGAUUUCAUAGCAUAGAUUAACUGAUGGCAUUUUUCUGUGCUUCUAAUGUCAUCAUGAAAAAAGAAACUUUAAUCCUCUGGAAGGGGAACUAAUAUUACAAAAGAAACAAAGCAAUCCACAGGUUGUAAUUAUGCUUUCUAUAAAGAAGGUCCAGCCCAAAAAGCCAUAGUAUAUUUUAAUGGAUGUGUCAAAGCUACUCAAGACAUUAACAUGAAAUAUCAAGAGCAAGCCAUGUAAACCACUAAAAACAGUUAGCAAUGGAGAAGAACUUCAGGGAAAGUGGAAGAACUUCAGGGAAAGUGGAAGCUGCCCCAAACACUUCACGCUCUAUUGUGUGGAGGAGGGGAAUGAAGAAGAGCAUAGUUGUUACCAGUUGGUAGACAGUGGGUGAACUUUGACUCAAUGGAAAAAAUAGUUUUCUUUUAUCCUGAGUCACUCAGUAAUGGAACAGGCUACUUUUCAAGGUAAAAUUGUAGAAUUUUCUUGCCAGAGGAGUCUUUGAAAUCACGUUAGCCCCUCUUUUCAGCUGACUUGUGAGAUGACCAAGGCCAUGUUCGGUUUAAUGACUUUCACAGAGUCACACAGGAGGCAUAUAGAGUUGGAAAACAUGGCUUGAGUCUGUACACCACUGUUCUUUCACUAUGAAAGCUUGUUUUCCUUGUUCUGCUUCCAGUAGUCCUGAGAGAAACUCAGAGCUUCAAGAGAUGAGAUCUGAGCCUACUUCCUUUCAUCAAAGAUUUGGCUAGGAAAGCUCAAAGAUGCAGGGAGAGCAGGGUGAUGCUUUUACAUCAAAAUAAUAUGACCUUUCUUGGUUCAUCUGUAAUAAAAGCAAAAAAAUAUGUAAGUAGGAAUAAUACUAAUUUCUCAUAUAUCACUUCUCAAGUAACUCCUCCACAGUAGCAAGAAUAAAGUUUAUCUUCUUGUCAGAAACUGGGUGAAGAAUAGCUUUGACAUUUAUCAGAGAGAGAGCAGGCUGAGAAAAUUAUAGGAUGCAAAAAUAGAUGUAGGCCUGGCAAA
rnacentral:lncRNA from 1 species